ACUCCUACGGGAGGCAGCAGUGGGGAAUCUUGGACAAUGGGCGCAAGCCUGAUCCAGCCAUGCCGCGUGAGUGAUGAAGGCCCUAGGGUCGUAAAGCUCUUUCGCCAGGGAUGAUAAUGACAGUACCUGGUAAAGAAACCCCGGCUAACUCCGUGCCAGCAGCCGCGGUAAUACGGAGGGGGUUAGCGUUGUUCGGAAUUACUGGGCGUAAAGCGCGCGUAGGCGGAUUAGUCAGUUAGAGGUGAAAUCCCCAGGGCUCAACCCUGGAACUGCCUUUAAUACUGCUAGUCUUGAGUUCGAGAGAGGUGAGUGGAAUUCCGAGUGUAGAGGUGAAAUUCGUAGAUAUUCGGAGGAACACCAGUGGCGAAGGCGGCUCACUGGCUCGAUACUGACGCUGAGGUGCGAAAGUGUGGGGAGCAAACAGGAUUAGAUACCCUGGUAGCGUCGUC
rnacentral:rRNA from 1 species